CAGCCGCCACGGUAAUACGAAGGGGGCUAGCGUUGCUCGGAAUGACUGGGCGUAAAGGGCGCGUAGGCGGAUCUCGCAGUCAGGUGUGAAAUUCCUGGGCUUAACCUGGGGGCUGCAUUUGAGACGCGGGAUCUAGAGUGUGAAAGAGGGUCGUGGAAUUCCCAGUGUAGAGGUGAAAUUCGUAGAUAUUGGGAAGAACACCGGUGGCGAAGGCGGCGACCUGGUUCAUGACUGACGCUGAGGCGCGAAAGCGUGGGGAGCAAACAGGAUUAGAUACCCCCGUAGUCCCUGUCUCUUAUAC
rnacentral:rRNA from 1 species